rnacentral:rRNA from 1 species
UGCAGUCGACGAUGAAGCCCUUCGGGGUGGAUUAGUGGCGAACGGGUGAGUAACACGUGGGCAAUCUGCCCUUCACUCUGGGACAAGCCCUGGAAACGGGGUCUAAUACCGGAUAACACUCUGUCCCGCAUGGGACGGGGUUAAAAGCUCCGGCGGUGAAGGAUGAGCCCGCGGCCUAUCAGCUUGUUGGUGGGGUAAUGGCCUACCAAGGCGACGACGGGUAGCCGGCCUGAGAGGGCGACCGGCCACACUGGGACUGAGACACGGCCCAGACUCCUACGGGAGGCAGCAGUGGGGAAUAUUGCACAAUGGGCGAAAGCCUGAUGCAGCGACGCCGCGUGAGGGAUGACGGCCUUCGGGUUGUAAACCUCUUUCAGCAGGGAAGAAGCGAAAGUGACGGUACCUGCAGAAGAAGCGCCGGCUAACUACGUGCCAGCAGCCGCGGUAAUACGUAGGGCGCAAGCGUUGUCCGGAAUUAUUGGGCGUAAAGAGCUCGUAGGCGGCUUGUCACGUCGGAUGUGAAAGCCCGGGGCUUAACCCCGGGUCUGCAUUCGAUACGGGCUAGCUAGAGUGUGGUAGGGGAGAUCGGAAUUCCUGGUGUAGCGGUGAAAUGCGCAGAUAUCAGGAGGAACACCGGUGGCGAAGGCGGAUCUCUGGGCCAUUACUGACGCUGAGGAGCGAAAGCGUGGGGAGCGAACAG